AUAAGGCCACACCAAUUUAAUUUCUUGUUCUACGGAUUUUUGGACUCCAAAAUUUGGGGCGAGCGAGCGAUUUGAAAAUUUUAAUAAAAAAAUAUUUAAUUUGUAAAUUUUUGAGGCGAAGCUUGAAAAGUAAAGGCGAUCGAUUAUAAUUUUUUUUUGUAAACAUAAAAUAGUAGGUUUUGACAAUUUUAAAGCUUGAUUUCUGACUUGUACUUUGACAUUUCUUUAAUUUCUGAAGUAUGUUUUCCCUGUUCACCAAGAAAUAAUUAAAUCUGGUCUAUGUAUGUGUGACUGACAAUGAGACAAUUCUCCAUCCAAGUCAUAAUCAGUUUGGGGACAACCCCUUAAUGUUAUAAAUAUCCCUUUUACAUGUUUUAUGAGGGAUCAAUAUAAGUUAAAAUAUAUUUGUUUGUACAAAAGGGCUCAUAUUUUCUCAAAGAACUAUAUUAUCUAUCUGGUAUUAAAUGGUCAAAACAUGUCCAAGAAUUUUGUAAUAUUCCUGGACUUGAACCAUGUUAACACAUUUACUUUAACAGUUUAAUAUUAUUCAAAAUAAGUGGACCCCUCUUUUAGAAAAAGUUGUUUAAAAUAUUAUGCAACUCUCCUCUUUUUGAGUACAAAAUUCUAGGUUUUCAAAGGUUUUGUAUAGAAGGACUAUACAAAUCCAUGGUAUUUCUAUUUUCAAUUCUACAUCAGUAAAAUGACCCCUUGUCUGAGGGAGGGUUGUUCUCAACCUGAUAAUAACAAACACAGCCACAGGUCAAAGUACGGCCUUUUACACAGGGCUUUGAUACAGACCAAACAGCAGGCUAUAAAGGACCCCAAAAUUAUUAGCGUACACAAUUCGAACAGGAAAACCAACGAUCUAAUUUAUAUAUCAUGUAUAUCCAAACGGGAAAAUACCAAUGAACAACAUCAACAAACGAUAACUGCUGAACGACAGGCCCCUCAAUCAAUCAGGACAGGUGCAUAAACAUGCACCGGCUAUGGAUAGUUUUGUUUCGCCAGCAUACAAUAUAAUUGCAGUUGAAGGCAAAUCCUUCAGAAGUUCUUUGUACUUUAUUCCAACAACGAACAUGUUUUGAUAGGGAAUAUAAGUAAGGGGAAAGUAACCAAUUUUUUGUUCUUUACAGGUAUUCCCGCUGAUAUAAAUUUAUAUCGGAGCACUCCCGCUUUAGAUAAAUAGGUUUCAUGCUGAAACAAAUAUUCUCACAGAUAUUUACACAGUGUGGUGGGGUGCUUUUAUGUUUAAAAUCGUUAUAUAUACAGGUUAGACUGUGAUUUUAAAAACAAAUGCUGAUAUCUUUUUAUAAUAUUUACAAAAAAACGGUGCGGGAAAUGGACAUGAUUACAUUUCCGGAUGCGGGAAGCGGGAAUAUAAAAAAAAAUAAAAAAAUUCUGUUUUGAAAAAAAUAGGUGCGGGCGGGUCCGUCGAACAAGGAAUCAAAUUGGUGUGGCCUAAGUAAUUUU
rnacentral:lncRNA from 1 species